rnacentral:rRNA from 1 species
GACGAACGCUGGCGGCGUGCUUAACACAUGCAAGUCGAACGGAAAGGCCCUGCUUUUGUGGGGUUCUCGAGUGGCGAACGGGUGUGUAACACGUGAGUAUCCUGCCCUUGACUGUGUGAUAACUUCAGGAAACUGGGGCUAAUACCUGAUAGGAGCUCCUGCUGCAUGGGGGGGGUUGGAAAGUGUCGGCUGUUGUGGAUGGACUCGCGGCUUAUCAGCUUGUUGGUGGGGUAGUGGCUUACCAGGCGUUUGACGGGUAGCCGGCAUGGGAGGGUGACCGGCGACAAUGGUACUAAGAGACGGACCAGUCGGGUACGUGAGGCAGUAGGGGGGAGUAUUGCACAGUGGGGCCGAGCGUGAGGCGGAAGCGCUCGGAGCGUAAAGACGGCUUACGGGGUGUGAACCGCUGUGGCAUGAGACGAGGCGUGAGUGACGGUAACGGGUAAAGAAGCACCGGCUAACUACGUG